rnacentral:rRNA from 1 species
GAUGAACGCUGGCGGCGUGCCUAAUACAUGCAAGUCGAGCGAACGGACGAGAAGCUUGCUUCUCUGAUGUUAGCGGCGGACGGGUGAGUAACACGUGGAUAACCUACCUAUAAGACUGGGAUAACUUCGGGAAACCGGAGCUAAUACCGGAUGAUAUUUUUAACCGCAUGGUUCAAAAGUGAAAGAUGGUCUUGCUUUCACUUAUAGAUGUAUCCCCGCUGCAUUAGCUAGUUGUUAAGGUAACGGCUUACCAAGGCAACGAUGCAUAGCCGACCUGAGAGGGUGAUCGGCAAAACUGGAACUGAAACACGGUCCAGAAGCCAAAGGGAGGAAGAAGAAGGGAAUCUUCGGCAAUGGGCGAAAGCCGGACGGAGAAAGGCCGAGUGAGAGAUGAAGGUCUUCGGAUCGUAAAACUCUGUUAUUAGGGAAGAACAUAUGUGUAAGUAAAUGUGCACAAAUUGACGGUACCUAAUCAGAAAGCCACGGCUAACUACGUG